UCCUCGUAGAUGGUGGUCGUUGGGGUCGCCUGACGGGGCAAAAGACAGGGACCAUCGGUAUAGGUGUCUACCAAGGGAUUGGAAUUGAAACUGAAAAGAACAUAAUCUUUUUGGAUCGUGGUUAGUUAUAUAACCCAGUGAUGCCAGAAGGUUGGAAUGUGAAGAUAUAAUGAAGUUCUCUUUUUUUCUUCUUUACUGUUUGUCAAACUAGAUUAGUUUUAUGAGUUUGUAGUUUCUGUGUGCAUUGGCAACAAUAAGUGUGUGCAAUGGUACUUGGUUUUUUUCUUUAAAUUUAUUUUACAGCUUGCCUCAA